GAUGAACGCUGGCGGCGUGCCUAAUACAUGCAAGUCGAGCGAACAGACGAGGAGCUUGCUCCUCUGACGUUAGCGGCGGACGGGUGAGUAACACGUGGAUAACCUACCUAUAAGACUGGGAUAACUUCGGGAAACCGGAGCUAAUACCGGAUAAUAUAUUGAACCGCAUGGUUCAAUAGUGAAAGACGGUUUUGCUGUCACUUAUAGAUGGAUCCGCGCCGCAUUAGCUAGUUGGUAAGGUAACGGCUUACCAAGGCAACGAUGCGUAGCCGACCUGAGAGGGUGAUCGGCCACACUGGAACUGAGACACGGUCCAGACUCCUACGGGAGGCAGCAGUAGGGAAUCUUCCGCAAUGGGCGAAAGCCUGACGGAGCAACGCCGCGGGAGUGAUGAAGGGCUUCGGAGCGUAAAACUCUGUUAUUAGGGAAGAACAAAUGUGUAAGUAACUAUGCACGUCUUGACGGUACCUAAUCAGAAAGCCACGGCUAACUACGUGC
rnacentral:rRNA from 1 species